UGAGUUAGCCGGACGGUCGCAUCGUUUGUUCGAUGAGGAAAGUCCGAGCAUCGCAGGGCAAGGGCGCAAGAUAACGUCUUGUGGAGGCGACUCCAAGGAAAGUGCAACAGAAAUAAACCGCGAACCGUCCGAUUUUUUUCGGGCGGCGCAAGGAUGGAAAGGGGAGGUAAGGGCUCACCGGCGUUUUGGCGACAUUACGCGCUAUGUAAACCCCGCUCGAUGCAAGAGAAUAUCGGCGCGAUAAGGCUGCCCGCCUUGCCGGUAUAAAUCGCUUGAACCUAUCGGCGACGGUAGGUCUAGACAGAUGACCGUUCAAGACAGAACUCGGCUUAUAGACUAAUCUCAUUUU
rnacentral:RNase_P_RNA from 1 species